UGUGUCAUUUGGACUCUCGGGCAGCUAUAUGAUGCUGCCUCACUUCUCACUUCACCAAGACAAGUGAAGAAGCCAGAGAACUUCCAAGCUCCACCCGCCACCACCCACGCUCUGCCUCCGCGCCCAUCUGUUACCCGCAGGCUCCUCUCUGGCUGAGCAGCCGCCUGGUGCUAGCUCCAGUCUCCUCUGCUUACCUGAAGACAUCACUCCACACAUCCCUUUCUGUUCUGCAUCACUUUUAAAAGAAGCCCUCAUUGGAUCAGACUGAUUUACAAACAUGCUGUUAUUUUUCUGAAUAAAAAAGAUUUUUUUAUUGAUCCUAUUUCUCUUGAAAACUAUGGCCCCAUUUCUUUCCUCUCUUUUGCAACAAAACCCCUUUAGUGUUGUCCAUUCUGCUCCCCAAUUCAUUAAGG
ensembl:lncRNA